UGCAUUCAGUUGCCAUCGGGUAAUGCCGGGCACUCUGGAAGGACUGCCAUCGACAAGAUGGAGGAAGGUGGGGAUGACGUCAAGUCAUCAUGGCCCUUAUGUCCAGGGCGACACACGUGCUACAAUGGCCGGCACAACGGGAAGCGAGUUCGCGAGGACAAGCGGAUCCCUUAAAGCCGGUCGCAGUUCGGAUUGAAGUCUGCAACUCGACUUCAUGAAGCUGGAAUCGCUAGUAAUCGUGGAUCAGCCAAGCCGCGGUGAAUACGUUCCCGGGCCUU
rnacentral:rRNA from 1 species